AUCACUUCUUGGCCAUUUGGCUAAGAUCAAGUGUAGUUUAUCAAUGUUCACUUAGUCAGAGGCCAGAAUGACUCUUGUCUCUCAAGAUUUUUGACUUUAGGGGCAACCAACUUUCUGGUCCCCCUUCUGUCUCUCUUAGGCAGAAGAUUU
ensembl:snRNA U2 U2 spliceosomal RNA